rnacentral:rRNA from 1 species
CGGGACGGGUGAGUAACGCGUGGGCAACCUGCCCCAUACCGGGGGAUAACAGCCGGAAACGGCUGCUAAUACCGCAUAAGCGCACAGCGCCGCAUGGCGCGGUGUGAAAAACUCCGGUGGUAUGGGAUGGGCCCGCGUCUGAUUAGCCAGUUGGCGGGGCAGCGGCCCACCAAAGCGACGAUCAGUAGCCGACCUGAGAGGGUGACCGGCCACAUUGGGACUGAGACACGGCCCAAACUCCUACGGGAGGCAGCAG